UGAGUGGGUCGGGCGGUCGCUGACUGUCGAAAGACAGUCGGAGGAAAGUCCGAGCAGGACAGGGCGCGGUGGCGGCUAACGGCCGCACGGGGUGACCCGAUGGAAAGUGCCACAGAAAAUACACAGCCGACCCAGCGCGUAUUUUAAGGAUUGUCGAUGGGUGGCAUGGCCUGUAGGGGCGGUUCGCGAACCGCCCUCUUGCGUGGCCAUGCUGAAUGCCGAACGGUUAACCGCCCAGCUUGCUGGGCGUUCUCUCGCCGGGUGGCAGCCACCGAAGGUGGAUGACGAUUCUCAAAAUACGCGCUGGGGGCAAUGGUGAAAUGGUGCGGUAAGAGCGCACCGCGUCGCCGGUAACGGCGGCGGCACGGCAAACCCCACCGCCUGCAAGACCAAAUAAGCCGGUCAGUCGGCCCGAUCAUAAUCCGGCGGGUAGGUUGCUCGAGCCGUCAAGCAAUUGACGGCCCAGAUAAAUGACCGCCUAAAACAGAACUCGGCUUACUGACCCACUCAGUUU
rnacentral:RNase_P_RNA from 1 species